CAGGGGCAAACCUCAGCUGUCAGCAGCCCAUUUAUUCAGACUGAUUAAAGGGUCGAUGCAACUACAGCCCUAAAAAUCCCCAGCACUUGCCCAGAGCCUUCCAGCCAUGGAGGACACCCCUGUGGAUUUGCACUGCUGUACAGGUGGAGGCAAUGUUAACCUGACCAUGCAGGACAAGGCGAAAUGGUGGAAAGAACUCAACAUAUAAGAGAAAGCAAAAUCAGAAGAACGAGAUGUGAAAGAUGUUGUUCAUGGGAAGCAAGAGCAAGAGUUUGUCCCUUCAAACAGGGCACAUGUUGGCAAGAUGCUGCCAAGCUGAAGUGUGACACCCAUUUGGCUCCCUUCCCUCCUUUCUUUUUUCCAAGGUAGCAUCUGUGCUUGUAAAAACAUGCUGCCCGAGAGGAUUCAUCCAGGAAACUAAAGAAAGAGCUGCAGAAUUUGGGGGAAGUGUGUGUGAGAAAAUAGGAG